UGGGGGGUCUGUAGCUGGAGAGGAGGAAGAGCAGGAUCAGCUGAACUACAGAAGAAAUGAAAAUGUUCUCCUAAAAUUCAUCACCAACAAACAGGAUAUUUAUCAAAGAGCAGUGUUAAACUGCUGAAAGAGGUGAAGCACAAGCUGUCCUGAAGAAUCUCCAGAACACGCAGAAAUUGUUUGAUACAUUUAACAGACAAAUAAAGCCAAGUCCCGACAUGGAGAAACAUCAAAA